UGUUUUAUGCACCGAUGCAUAUAAUUCAGUUUUUAAGAAAAUAAUGUGAGUUAUAUGCAUCGGCUUAAGCAUCCCUUGUACCGAUUCAAACCUGCCCAAACCUUGGUUGAGUCAAUUCAACAAGUGAAUGCACCGAUUCAAUCGUUUCCAGUUUUUAUAAAACAUCUCCUGAGAGUUAUGCACCGAUCCAUGAUGCGCAUGCACCAGCUCAUAACACCCAUAAUGGGCAUUUUAGAGUUUUUAAGGAAACGUCGCAUCGGUUCAAGCUCUGUUUAAGCCGGCUCAAGCUCAAUUUCCUGCAUAACUUAAAAUCAAUCCAAAUACAAUUUAGAUUAUAUAUCUCUUAGUUUCACUAUGUUCCACGAUUUCCAGUCCAUUCAACAUGCAAGGGCUUUUUUAAGUAGUUAAUUAGUCGCUUCAUGAGUUUUUAUUUCCUAAUUAAUCCCUAAAACUUAAGUUAACGUGCAUAGUUGGAUUUUGGGGAAAACUAAUAAGGCUACUCUAUUAAGUGAGAGUUUACCUAAAGGAACCCACCUGAUUUGAUAGCAAUUCCGAACUGUUUCGCAUGCUUAUAAUCAUCCGCUUGAGCCACUCAAGAUGCAAACCCGUAGCACAUAAAACACCAAAAUUCCAGAUUUUCUGCACAAUUCCUGCUACUGGCUUCCAACUUCAAAAAUGUCUAUCGACCUCAUCGCUCGUCCAAAAAUUAUGAAACUGGUACCACAACGACCGUAUUUGAGUUAGCUAUCCAUAGAAAUAAACGAUAUCUCAUUCGGAGCUACAGGGAGAGAACAGUUACCUUUUUAGUGCAGGUCUGUCCUUGAAUACGGGUUUGAUACCAAAAUUCUUCAUUCUCUAGUUUCACUUGAUUUCUCCAACACCCAUG
rnacentral:lncRNA from 1 species